GACGAACGCUGGCGGCGUGCUUAACACAUGCAAGUCGAACGAAGUGGCGAACGGGUGAGUAAUACGGGAGUAACCUGCCCUCCUUUUUGGGAUAAGCCUUGGAAACGGGGUCUAAUACCGGAUAAAGGGGGAUGGGCUCGCGGCCUCUCAGCUUGUUGGUGGGGUUAUGGCCUACGAAGGCGGUGACGGGUAGGCGGCCUGAGAGGGGGACCGGCCAGAUUGGGACUGAGAUACGGCCUAGACUACGACGCGGGGCAGCAGUGGGGGAUAUUGCGGAAGGGGCGAAAGCCUGAUGCGGCGACGCCGCGUGGGGGAUGAAGGCUUUCGGGUUGUAAACCUGUUUCGCUAUCGAACCGGUAGGUGGAGAAGAAGCGCCGGCUAACUACGUGCCAGCCGCCGCGGUAAUAC
rnacentral:rRNA from 1 species